rnacentral:rRNA from 1 species
GAUGAACGCUGGCGGCGUGCCUAAUACAUGCAAGUCGAGCGAAUGGAUUAAGAGCUUGCUCUUAUGAAGUUAGCGACGGACGGGUGAGUAACACGUGGGUAACCUGCCCAUAAGACUGGGAUAACUCCGGGAAACCGGGGCUAAUACCGGAUAAUAUUUUGAACUGCAUGGUUCAAAAUUGAAAGGCGGCUUCGGCUGUCACUUAUGGAUGGACCCGCGUCGCAUUAGCUAGUUGGUGAGGUAACGGCUCACCAAGGCAACGAUGCGUAGCCGACCUGAGAGGGUGAUCGGCCACGCUGGGACUGGGACACGGCCCAGACUCCUACGGGAGGCAGCAGUAGGGAAUCUUCCGCAAUGGACGAAAGUCUGACGGAGCAACGCCGCGUGAGUGAUGAAGGCUUUCGGGUCGUAAAACUCUGUUGUUAGGGAAGAACAAGUGCUAGUUGAAUAAGCUGGCACCUUGACGGUACCUAACCAGAAAGCCACGGCUAACUACGUGCCAGCAGCCGCAGUAA